CCUAAUAGUGCCACUCCCUGGGCCAAGCAUCUUCAAACCACCACAGAUUUCAAGAUUUUUUUCUCAAACAGAAAGAGGACAAGAGAGAAGAUGAGAUAUGAUUCCAGACCUAGAGUGGCCAUCACAGUCAGUUGGAUCUUGUUGCAGCACACAGGCCAACCAGGGAAGGGCAAUUUCAACCAGGACGUCGAGAUUCUGCCUCUCAGCGUCUGCUCCCAAUAUGUGGGCUUUCCCACUCUCAGACUCCCACAAAGCAGAAUGAGAACAAGACAAUUGACCACACUGAAGUCUGCUGGCAGAUGGUGUUUGGGAUUUUGUUUUUAUUAAAUGGACUGCAUUGACUAAGUGAUUGACUAUGGUCAAAAGGAAGGCUAUGAAAGAACUGGACUCUCCCUCUACUAAAGCCCAAUCUUCUCAACUCUAAUUGUGCAAAAGACCACAGUUUUUAGUGUGGCGAAAGGAUCAUCCUUGGAGAACUUCCCAUAGUCCUAAAGGAAUGUUGUCCAAGUAAGCUCUCUAGCUAGUGCCAGCAUUCCUACCCUGGCAAAGCAGAAGAGUCACAGCUGCCACCAGGGCAAUGGCAGCUUUCCUCCCUGUUAGGAAGGAUGCUGAGGACAAGCCUGGGAACAGAGGGGGAUGCUGGUAAUAAAGCCUAGUGCAGA